UACAGAGGUCUCAAGCGUUGUUCGGAUUCAUUGGGCGUAAAGGGUGCGUAGGCGGGCGUGGUAAGUCGGAUGUGAAAUCUCGGAGCUUAACUCCGAAACUGCAUUCGAUACUGCCGUGCUUGAGGACUGGAGAGGAGACUGGAAUUUACGGUGUAGCGGUGAAAAUGCGUAGAUAUCGUAAGGAAGACCAGUGGGCGGAAAGGCGGGUCUCCGUGGGA
rnacentral:rRNA from 1 species